rnacentral:rRNA from 1 species
GACGAACGCUGGCGGCGUGCCUAAUACAUGCAAGUCGAACGCAGUGGGGACGGGUGAGUAACACGUGGGUAACCUCCCAGCAGAGGGGAUAACACUUGGAAACAGGUGCUAAACCGAUACUGGUGGAUGGACCCGCGGUGGAUUAGCUAGUUGGUGAGGUAACGGCUCACCAAGGCCACGAUGACUAGCUGACCUGGGAGGAGGAUCGGCCACACUGGGACUGAGACACGGCCCAGACUCCUACGGGAGGCAGCAGUAGGGAAUAUUCGGCAAUGGACGAAAGUCUGACCGAGCCAUGCCGCGUGUAUGAAGAAGGCCUUCGGGUUGUAAGACUUUCAGCGAGGAGGAACGUUAAUCGCAGAAGAAGCACCGGCUAACUCCGUGCCAGCAGCCGCGGUAAUUC